rnacentral:rRNA from 1 species
AUUGAACGCUGGCGGCAUGAUUUACACAUGCAAGUCGAACGGUAACAGGCCGCAAGGUGCUGACGAGUGGCGAACGGGUGAGUAAUGCAUCGGAACGUGCCCAGUCGUGGGGGAUAACUACUCGAAAGAGUAGCUAAUACCGCAUACGAUCUAUGGAUGAAAGCGGGGGACCGUAAGGCCUCGCGCGAUUGGAGCGGCCGAUGUCAGAUUAGGUAGUUGGAGGGGUAAAGGCGCACCAAGCCAACGAACUGUAGCUGGUCUGAGAGGACGACCAGCCACACUGGGACUGAGACACGGCCCAGACUCCUACGGGAGGCAGCAGUGGGGAAUUUUGGACAAUGGGCGCAAGCCUGAUCCAGCAAUGCCGCGUGCAGGAAGAAGGCCUUCGGGUUGUAAACUGCUUUUGUACGGAACGAAACGGCUCUGGUUAAUACCCGGGGCUAAUGACGGUACCGUAAGAAUAAGCACCGGCUAACUACGUG